CCUUUCCUGCUCAUGCUAGUGGCAGUCCCAGGCCAGACCUUUAUCUCUCUUUCCUAAUAACUAGGCUAUUAACCAUCUCCCCCAUCCAGCCAUUUAAAAGCCUCUGCCAAGGAAUUUUUCCCAACUAUAGAUUUCAUCCUGAGUCCCACUUUAUCUGGCCCUUAGCCCCUACCUAAGAACAGCAUGGUGGUCUCUGCAGGACAGUGUUUACACUCCUUAGCCCUGAAUUCAAGGCCCUCCAGGAUCCUGGCCCUGCCCACCUUUCCAGCCAGAUGUCCAGUAAUGCCAACUGGCCCACACUGGGGGACCUCUGUCUCAACUCCAGAAUCUGGGUAAGGCAUCUCCACGUUCACCUCAAAAUCUCUCCUACUCCCAAAUGAAACCAGAUGUCCAGUUACUCUCUCAUUAGUUUAUUUAUUUGUAUAAGGCCUGCUUACCCAAAAAGUCCAUAAACUCUUAAAAUAAUUACAUCUUACACCUAGUGCCUCCAUAUAACACUAGGCAGUUGAUGCUCACCACAUUUUUUGUCUCCUUUAAAAAUUAUUUAUUUAUUAACGAUGAGGUCUCACUAUAUUGCCCAGGCUGGUCUCAAACUCCUGGCCUCAAGCAAUCCUCCCGCUUUGACCUCCCAAAGUGUUGAGAUUACAGGUGUGAGUCACCGCACCCGGACAAGUGAAACCAACCAUGAGAUGCUGAGGGCCUGGGCUAGGGUGGUCACAGUGGAAAUGGACUGUUGAAAGCCAGAAGGUCCAUUUUGAACUCUCCUAACAGAGCUGACCUCUUGCUCCAUGAUGCCAAACUCUCCUAGUUUUGCUCAUACCACUUGGCCUAAUUCUCUACUCAACCUCUAAAUGCUGGAGUCUCCCCAAAGCUUUGUCCUAGGGCUUUCUGCUAUAUAUAUCCUCUCCCCAUAUGAUCUCCACUGUUCCCUUGGCUCUAAAUAUCUUUCGAGAUUGUCACUGGUAUUUCUAAGACUAAAUCUAUGGUCCAAGUCCACUGGGAACACUCAACUUGAACGUUUCACAGGUAUCUCAAACUAAUUACUUCCAGAAAUAGGAAUUUGACAUCUGGUGGUGAACACAGACCUACCACAGCUGUCAAUGUAUGUCAAUAUAAUGCUAUCAAGAGCAAAAGCACCCUUGGCCCCACUUUAAAAAAAAAAAAAAAAAAAAAAGGAAGUAAAAGCUUCAUGUGGCCUGUACUGUUACUUCUCUAUGGAAAGCCACAAGGCCUCAAAACCAGCAAAACAUCUGCUUCUCAGAGACCAGCCUUUAGCUUGUGGUUUACCAGAAAUGUAGAGUAGCCCUGAAAAUCGAAACAAAGACGACCACUCACAGUAGUCAAUGAUUGGAAGGGGUCACACGUGAAAGAGACUUCUGUUGCGGCUGUCUCCUUUCCCUCUAUAAAUUCAUCGCUCUUCAAAUGAAGACCCCGAAGUUUUUAAGACUUUAACAAUUAACACUAUUGACUUAUAAAUCAACAGGCCCUAUAAGCCUCUAAAUGCAAGUUCAUGGAGACAGUCUGUUUCUUAAGAGUCUUCUAGUUGUUGAGCUGAAAUUCGGCAUUUCCAGUGCUGAAAUUCAAGGUCUCAUGAAUUAUUUCUGUGUCCAUUAGUUUUUCUAUCACUCCCAGUGUAUAGAUAUUAGAAUAGCAGGAUGCCAAGGGUAAAGGAGGAAGGAAAUAUAGAAGGCAAGUCACUGACUUGGCCACUGCUGCCAGCGCUGGGCAGCUCUGCUGUUUAUGCUCCCCAGCUCAUAGCCUGCCCACUCUCAGACGCACGAACUGAGCGUCUUGAGAUGUUGGCACUUGUUUCUCUGGUGUGUUCAUGCCCAACCAACCCAACUAGGUGCUGCUCCUUGGAAACAUAAAACAAGUCCUUUUCUGUUUGUGUACCCCCAUAGCCAGGUGAGAUCCAAAUAUAAAUAAAUAUUUAUGGCAAGGAGAUUGUUGCUUUGUGUUACAACUUACGUUUAUGAUUUUGUGCUCUAAUUUUUAGAUAAACUGCUAUAGUUUUCCACUAUUGAGCUGAAUUUCGUAUCACCAUCAAAAGUUACCUACCUACAAGUCCCUAGUAGAGAAAAUUUAACUUCUGGCUUUAAAAAAGGGACAGAAAAGCAGGCAGAUCUGCUAGUAAGCAAACUACAGCUCCCCCGAGGAGACACACAGGCAGUGGGUAAGAGGAACAGACCCAUGGCUCCACUGAAGACACAGAGCAGCAGACGAAAAAGACAUGUCCUAAAUGUUAAAUGGUAAGGAGGGGUAGGGUGAAAAAAGGGAACAUGGAUGCCAGGCAGAAGAAAUAAAAGCCUUUCCAAACAUUUGUAUUACAUGAUGCUGGCUCUCACUGAUAAACCACUGGAUGAGAACUGUACUUCAUCCAUAUCAUCCUGUUGGUUGCAGAUCCCGUCACCCCAUAUCUAAAACAUAUUUCCUUCUGGAGCUUUACUGUUGAUACUGCUUUGAGAUGUAUCAUUUGGUUUUGGUUUUACAUAUUUAACAUUUUAAUGAAAGGGUGACUUGAGUAAGGCACUACUUUUUCAAUAAAUAGCAACAGAACCAAUUUGCCUGGGAGGAGACCUGCCAGCAAGCCAUGAGGGGCAUUUCCAAAAUUUCCAGUAUAGGCUGCUCCCAAUUUCUGCCUCCACUUUAAAAACACUUUGCACUUACUAGUGUUAUUCCAGGAGAGCCAGUUAAUAGUUUAAUGAAACUAGUUAGAGUUUAAAGGCAGCAAAUGGGAUAAUUUAAAAUAAUCAUCCCAUUUUUAUUGAUGGUUCUCAAAUCUCUCUCCAGAUCUGACAUUUUGCCCUAGCUCAGACUUGUACCUACACUUUCUAUUCAGACUAACGUCCUCCAUAGUUUUAGGACAUCACCAUCCCAACUUGGGCACUGACAGCCCACAGGCCACAUCCUCCUCAAGUAGCAACUCAUGAACCCAGAGAACUGACUGAAAUAGUUCAGUGUUUCUUGAGCUCCCCAAGGCCUUCAGGCUUCUGUGCAGAGUGGAAGUGGUAGUGGUAGUGGCACAAGUAUGCUAAUUGCCACAGUACACUCUCCAAGGUAAGUGUAACCGGGCCCAUUCUACAGAUAAACUAAAGGUUAGGUAAAUUAAAUCUCCUGGCCCAUCCACAUCUAAUCAUCAUCAGGGCCAGGAUUCAAGUCCAGUUCUAACAACAAAAGCCAUGCCAAUGGUAACAGAGUGCGUGUGAGCUGCUAAGUACUUCUGUGUAUUAACUCAUGCCAUUAAAGUCCGUAGAUGCCAUAGGGUGACCCAGAGCCACACUGGGUAGGCCCCUCCAGGCAUUCCUUUGUCUUCCAAAUACCAACUGAGGUGCAGGCUUAUUACCCUUACGUUACUACUGGCACAAGUAAAACUUCUUCCUGCAUAUACCUUAAGACGGGGGUCUCCAGUCCCCAGGGUACAAACCACUACCAGCCUGUUAGGAACUGGGCCACAAAGCAGGAAGUGAGCGGCAGGCAAGUGAGCAAAGCUUCAUCUGUAUUUACAGAUGCUCCCCCUGGCUUGCAUUACCGCCUGAGCUCUACCUCCUGUCACAUCAGCAGCGGCAUUAGAUUUUCAUAGGACCACGAAUCCUAUUGUGAACUGCGCAUGUGAGGGAUCUGGGUUGCGUGCUUCUUUUGAGAAUCUAAUGUCUGAUGAUCUGUCACUGUUUUCCAUCACCCUCAGGUGGGACUGUCCAGUUGCAGGAAAACAAGCUCAGGGCUCCUACUGAUUCUACAUUAUAGGGAGUUGUAUAAUUAAUUCAUUACAUAUUACAAUGUAAUAAUAAUAGAAAUAAAGUGCACAAUAAAUGUAAUGCGCUUGAAUCAUCCUGAAACCAUCCUUCCCCUCAGCCCAUGGAAAAGCUGUCUUCCACAAAGCUGGUCCCUGGUUCCAAAAAGGUUGGGGACCUCUGCUGUAUACCACUGUAGUCUUAUAAACACUGUUUACUUAAUUAACCUAAACAUUUAAAAUGUUUCCUUUCUUCAAUAAUAAAUUAACCUUAGCUUACUGUAACUUUUUUCACUUUAUAAAGUUUAAAAUUAACCUCAUGGGCCUAGCACCUCAAAUCUCCCCCGCUUCUCUCUCCCCAAGCCAGCUUGCCCUCUCUUAGCUCCCUGUGGCCCUAUUUCUGUCAGCUGCAGCAGAGUUCUAGAAGAAGUGCCUGGCGUGCUCUCUGUCCAUUCCCACUCCUUCCAUCAGUCACCAUGCCCUCUAGAUUCAUUCUUCACUUCAUGGAGUUUCCUGUUCGGCAUGCUCCUCGGUUUUUGCAAGGGCUCUGCCAACUACAGGGCCACGUCAUGCCAGUGACUGCACUGGUCUCCUCCCUGGCCUCAGUGUGUCUCCACACCCCUCCCCCCAACAUUCCAGUUCUGGGCAUUCUGUAUAUUAAUGUGUUCUCUUAUUUGAAGACCUGUGACAAUUCCUAGUACGUCCAAACUAUCGGUCUGCUAGUUAGUUAACAGCCUCCACAAUUGGGUUCCCAAUCACCUACACCACCAUGUAGUGAAGUUAGUUACUGCAGUACCCCAUCCUGAUUCCUUUCCCUGGGUUUUUACCAAUGCCUUUCUCUCUUACCCAAUCUAGAAUGUCCCCUCUUCACUUCUGCUUAUUCAAACACAUCAACUCAACUAACAUUCAUUGAGCCCUCAUUCUAGUGAACACACUGUGCAAAGAGCACAGCACGAGGCACUGAGUGAACAAGGAGCACAGCACGAGGCACUGAGUGAACAAGGAGCACAGCACGAGGCACUGUGCGAAGCAUGUUCCAGUUUCAACUCUAUCCCUACACAGAGUCCGCUCUGCUCUCUCUCCCUUCUCUGAAAAACAACAAUUCCUGUUUAUGACUAGAAUUAAUAAGCACUUCUGCCAUUAAAAGGUCUAUAGAUCUUCCACCAAAUUGUGGAUUCCUUUCCAGCAAGAGGUGAGUAUUUCAUGUCUUGUGUAAUCUUCAGAGUGCCUGGCAAACUGUAACCAAGCAAUAUGAUAACUGUUGGGUGGCUGCAUGGGUAUUGUUUUUGGUCCUAGAGUUCUCCCUGAAACAUAAUACAUGUUUGGUAGGAUGGAAACAAAAUUUCUAAUCAAUGUUAGAUUUGUUUCUUUUUUUCCAAGAAGAAUGGAGAAGUAAAUCAUAUUUUAAAAUGGGAUUGAUUACUUGGACUCUCAGUGCAGAAAACACUGUUUUAUAUCUAUUCAUCUCAGAGGAAUAAAGGGUGUGAUACUUCUUAAGGUACUUCUUAAGAUACUUUAAAGGAAAGUUUACAUAUAUAUACACAUAUACAUAUACAUAUACCCAAACUUAAACUCUUGAAAUAAAAGCACAUGUCGGAGAUUAUAUGCUGUAUGCUGGAUAUCCAUGAGGAAAAUUUUCCCACAAACAACCUGGCAUGGUUCAGUAACUAAAUAACUACAUCCCCCGUACUGGUAACUAGCCCUAUCUCAGGACUACUGUGUUCCUGGGUGCAAGAUGGGUGUCUAGGCCUCCACCAUCUUCAAAGCCUCAAUUUCUAUGUCCCUGGUUCUCUUAACAAUGGAACAGUCGUAAAGCAGGGUAGCCUCUUGGUCCUACAAAGAGACAAGAGGAGGACUCAACUAUUUCCAAAAAGACAUCUUGUCUUGCAUGCUAUGUUUUGUCAACUGUCUUAAAUACCUUUAAUAUCUAAUAACACCACUUCCACUUGGUUCUCCCUCUCUGGACAUGUGUCUUUGAAAUAAAUCCUAGUUUCAGCACACACAAAAAAGACCUGUUUCCCAGGCUAGUCCCAGAAGAUUCUAUGGUAAUUACAACAGGAUCCCAAAUCCAAGCCCUCUGAGUAACAGUCCAUUCAUUUCUUUUUUUUUUUUU
rnacentral:lncRNA from 10 species